rnacentral:rRNA from 1 species
UACGUAGGGGGCAAGCGUUGUCCGGAAUUAUUGGGCGUAAAGAGCGUGUAGGCGGCCAGAUAAGUCCGCUGUGAAAUCUCGAGGCUCAACUUCGAGCUGUCGGUGGAAACUAUCUGGCUAGAGUCCGGAAGAGGAGAAUGGAAUUCCUGGUGUAGCGGUGAAAUGCGCAGAUAUCAGGAAGAACACCGCUGGCGGAAGGCGGUUCUCUGGGACGGUACUGACGCUGAGACGCGAAAGCGUGGGGAGCGAACAGG